rfam:Fistulina hepatica ATCC 64428 unplaced genomic scaffold FISHEscaffold_39, whole genome shotgun sequence.
GGUGGUAUAGUGUAGUGGUUAUCACUCAGGAUUCUGAUUAAUUCAGCAAUUCCUGAAACCCAGGUUCGAUCCCUGGUACUACCU